GACAAACGCUGGCGGCAUGCCUAACACAUGCAAGUCGAACGGACAGAACAGGGAAGCUUUUCGGAGUGGAACUGGAAAGUUAGUGGCGGAUGGGUGAGUAACGCGUGGACAACCUACCUUGUAAAGGGGAAUAACCUCGAGAAAUCGAAGCUAAUACCCCAUAAUAACCUUGCUUCGCAUGAAGUAAGGAGGAAAGGCGGCCUUAGCGCUGUCGAUACAAGAUGGGUCCGCGUCUGAUUAGCUAGUUGGUGAGGUAAAGGCUCACCAAGGCGACGAUCAGUAGCCGGCCUGAUAGGGUGAACGGCCAAAUUGGGACUGAGACACGGCCCAAACUCCUACGGGAGGCAGCAGUGGGGAAUCUUCCGCAAUGGGCGAAAGCCUGACGGAGCAAUGCCGCGUGAGUGAAGAAGGCCUUCGGGUUGUAAAACUCUGUCCUUAUCGAAGAGAGAGUGUUGUAGUAACUGACAAUACUAGGACGGUAGAUGAGGAGGAAGCCCCGGCUAACUAUGUG
rnacentral:rRNA from 1 species